CACUGUUGAGCAUACCGGUGAUAAUUAAACGAACCAACAUAGGAAGAAGAACAUUACCAUCUUUUCAGCAUAUCAAAGCAGCAUACACCGGCUACUCUUAAGCUAAAGUGAAAUACAAAAAAAUACAAAACCUUCCAUUAUUUACUUACUUGUUAGCUUUAAUUUAUUCUUCUUUUUUAUAUCAAAGACUAGUUGAUGAAGUGCGUAACAACAAAAGCAGUCGGCGGAAUACACGUGAUACUCUUCACUACGUCGAUGUUUAAGGAAAAAGAAUGAAAAAUAUGAAAAUAGUUGAAUUUAUUAAAAAAAAGAAGAUGAAGGAAAUAAGAUGUAUGAAUGAUGAACUGUAGAUAAAGGAACCACAUAAUCAUGCCUAUUAAUCUGGCA